AACGUAGGGGGCCAGCGUUGCUCGGAAUUACUGGGCGUAAAGGGUCCGUAGGCGGUGCGGCAAGUCGGAAGUGAAAUCUCAGGGCUUAACCCUGAGGCUGCUCCCGAAACUGCCGUGCUCGAGUGCGAGAGAGGUGAGUGGAAUUGCAGGUGUAGCGGUGAAAUGCGUAGAUAUCUGCAGGAACAUCCGAGGCGAAAGCGGCUCACUGGAUCGCAACUGACGCUGAGGGACGAAAGCUAGGGGAGCAAACAGGAUUAGAUACCCUGGUAGUCC
rnacentral:rRNA from 1 species